rnacentral:rRNA from 1 species
CGCUGGCGGCGUGCCUAAUACAUGCAAGUCGAACGAGGGAAGGCAAGCUUGCUUGCCGGAACGAGUGGCGAACGGGUGAGUAAUACAUAAGCAACCUGCCUGUAAGGACCGGGAUAAUGCCUGGAAACGGGUACUAAGACCGGAUAGGCAUAGAUGGGGCAUCCCAUUUAUGUUAAAGGUGAGAGACACAAACAGAUGGGCUUAUGGCGCAUUAGCCAGUUGGUGAGGUAACGGCCCACCAAAGCGAUGAUGCGUAGCCGGCCUGAGAGGGUGAACGGCCACAUUGGGACUGAGACACGGCCCAGACUCCUACGGGAGGCAGCAGUAGGGAAUUUUCGGCAAUGGGGGGAACCCUGACCGAGCAACGCCGCGUGAGUGAAGAAGGUUUUCGGAUUGUAAAGCUCUGUUGCAAGGGAAGAACGGCACAUAGAGGAUAUGUGAGUGACGGUACCUUGCGAGGAAGCCACGGCUAACUACGUGCCAGCAGCCGCGGUAAUACGUAGGUGGCGAGCGUUAUCCGGAAUUAUUGGGCGUAAAGGGUGCGUAGGCGGCCUUUUAAGUUUAAGGUGAAAGCGUGGGGCUUAACCCCAUAAAGCCUUAGAUACUGGGAGGCUAGAGUACUGGAGAGGAAAGUAGAAUUCCAUGUGUAGCGGUAAAAUGCGUAGAUAUAUGGAGGAAUACCGGUGGCGAAGGCGGCUUUCUAGACAGUAACUGACGCUGAGGCACGAAAGCGUGGGGAGCAAAUAGGAUUAGAUACCCUAGUAGUCCACGCUGUAAACGAUGAAUGCUAGUAUCGGGGCGACCGGUGCUGCACCCACGCAUAAGCAUUCCCCUGUGAGU